UACGAAGGGGGCUAGCGUUGCUCGGAUUGCCUGGGCGUAAAGGGCGCGUAGGCGGCGGACACAGUCAGACGUGAAAUUCCUGGGCUCAACCUGGGGGCUGCGUUUGAUACAUGUCUGCUUGAGUUCGGAAGAGGGUCGUGGAAUUCCCAGUGUAGAGGUGAAAUUCGUAGAUAUUGGGAAGAACACCGGUGGCGAAGGCGGCGACCUGGUCCGAUACUGACGCUGAGGCGCGAAAGCGUGGGGAGCAAACAGG
rnacentral:rRNA from 1 species